AAAAAGAAAAAAAGAAAAGGAAAAAAAAAUGUUAAACCGCAGUUAGAAUCAUCUCAAAAUCUUCCCGCCAUAUUUCCGCAAACAAAACUGAGACGUGCGAGGCGCUCAGGUCGUCGAUCAUUGGGAAUUUCUUUUAGCGAUGCAGUGGUCGCCCUGUGCAACCUCUCCGCCAGUCGUUUUGGAGUCCGUGUUCUUCGAUUGAAUCCUCUCACACAAAUGAAUCCUACAGACAAACAACAAAUCUCAGCUCCCAAAUAAGUUUUGGAAAAUCACGAGUCAAGUUUUUUCAGGGUAUCUGGAAGGAAGUCGUUCAUAUAUAUUGGUGGUUUUGCAAAGUAGUCAAAUAAUAACAACUUGGUAGUUUGCUUUUUCACUUACCAAAAUUGUUCCACGGACUGUUCCACUGUUUUGUUCCCUGGCAAUGUUGCAUGAUGAACAUGAUCCCGCGGUACAAAUUUCUCCCAUUUCCUGGUACGUGCAUCUUGUAUUGGGUGGCUCAGAUGCAUUUACAGUUUCACCUGAAAACAUUGAUUUUUACACUUUGAGCGCUGGAUCUUCCAGAUCACUGGAAAUUGGAUUUGUCCUUCAUAAUACUGACAUAUUGAGAUUUGCACGUUUUCAGAUUACACACACACACACACACAUUACAUUAUUCAGCCAGCAAUACCUGGUGAUAAUAUGCACAAAAGGUACGGGCAAGGAUCAUUUGGCUCUCGUCUUUCUAGCUGUAGACAGAUAGUUAGAAAUAAACUUCUACACCACUAUAAAUGAAAUGGUUUUCCAGCCGGAUGAGGGGUAAAGUAUUUACCUCUGAUAGAAGAGGAUGAUUAUCUGGAAGUUCAUAGCUGCAUCAUAGAAAAAGAAAUUAUUUCUACAAUAAAGCAUUUUUGGCAAUUGAAAUUAGUUUCUUUUCUUUUAUGUGUUUUAGUGAAUACUCAUUUCUACAAUAUCUAAUUCUUCCCACCCCCAUUUCUACAAUAGAACCUGUUAGGCUAAUGUGUACCCUUUCUCUUUUUCUUGGAUUUAUAAUUUGUGUUGUUCUAAAAACCUUCCCAACCCCCUUACAUAUACAAUGCAUACCAAAGAUUUAAUAACUCAUAUUAUCCCACAAACAAUAAACCGAGAUAAAAAUAUUUUUAUACAUAAAUCUAGUUCUUUGGUACCUCACACUACUAUUCCAUAACAGAUCUAGCAAAAGACUAGGGUUAAAACGCUAUCAAAAGCUAAUUUGAGCUUUAAGUGACAAUUUAUAACUCAUAUACAGCAACUUCAUCAAGUAAAAAUUGGCACAUAACUCACAUCUCAGCUGUCAGUUUUGUUUGUUAUUUUGAACUAUUCAGGAGCUAU